rnacentral:rRNA from 1 species
GGCUUAACACAUGCAAGUCGAGCGGGCGAGGUUGCUUCGGUAACUGAGCUAGCGGCGGACGGGUGAGUAAUGCUUAGGAAUCUGCCUAUUAGUGGGGGACAACAUUCCGAAAGGAAUGCUAAUACCGCAUACGCCCUACGGGGGAAAGCAGGGGAUCUUCGGACCUUGUGCUAAUAGAUGAGCCUAAGUCAGAUUAGCUAGUUGGUGGGGUAAAGGCCUACCAAGGCGACGAUCUGUAGCGGGUCUGAGAGGAUGAUCCGCCACACUGGGACUGAGACACGGCCCAGACUCCUACGGGAGGCAGCAGUGGGGAAUAUUGGACAAUGGGCGCAAGCCUGAUCCAGCCAUGCCGCGUGUGUGAAGAAGGCCUUUUGGUUGUAAAGCACUUUAAGCGAGGAGGAGGCUACUUGGAUUAAUACUCUAGGAUAGUGGACGUUACUCGCAGAAUAAGCACCGGCUAACUCUGUGCCAGCAGCCGCGGUAAUACAGAGGGUGCGAGCGUUAAUCGGAUUUACUGGGCGUAAAGCGUGCGUAGGCGGCUUCUUAAGUCGGAUGUGAAAUUCCUGAGCUUAACUUAGGAAUUGCAUUCGAUACUGGGAAGCUAGAGUAUGGGAGAGGAUGGUAGAAUUCCAGGUGUAGCGGUGAAAUGCGUAGAGAUCUGGAGGAAUACCGAUGGCGAAGGCAGCCAUCUGGCCUAGUACUGACGCUGAGGUACGAAAGCAUGGGGAGCAAACAGG